CAAGUACUCCCUCCGUUCGGAAAUACUUGUCAUUGAAAUGAAUAUAUCUAGAUGUAUUUUAAUUUUAGAUACAUUCAUUUUUAUCCAUUUUGGCGACAAGUAAUUUCGGACGGAGGGAGUAGUAU
rfam:Triticum aestivum genome assembly, contig: Triticum_aestivum_CS42_TGACv1_scaffold_223837_3B